CGGGCCUACGGGGGGCAGCAGUGGGGGGAUAUUGCACAAUGGGGGAAACCCUGAUGCAGCGACGCCGCGUGGGUGAAGAAGCGCCUCGGCGCGUAAAGCCCUGUCAGCAGGGAAGAAAAUGACGGUACCUGAAGAAGAAGCCCCGGCUAACUACGUGCCAGCAGCCGCGGUAAUACGUAGGGGGCAAGCGUUAUCCGGAUUUACUGGGUGUAAAGGGGGCGCAGACGGCGAUGCAAGCCAGGAGUGAAAGCCCGGGGCCCAACCCCGGGACUGCCCUUGGAACUGCGGGGCUAGGGGGGAGGAGG
rnacentral:rRNA from 1 species